CAAGAGGUAGUUUAAAAAAAAUGAUAACAUUGGAAGUUAUUAAUCAAUCUAUGUUGUCUUUUGA
rnacentral:tRNA from 1 species